rfam:Lachnospiraceae bacterium 28-4 genomic scaffold acPFn-supercont1.5, whole genome shotgun sequence.
GAAAUCCCAUCUGGUAAGGUGCCAGCCACACCACCAGUAGCGAACCUUGGGCAGGUAUUGGUAACAAUGCAGGCUAAGCGUAGGUAGCAAGGUAGUAGGGCUACAGGGCAGUUUUAGCAUCGAAAGAAAGCUAAAACCAGUGCGCCGACGCAGUUAACUUUGCGGAAGGCAACAUGUGUGACAUCGAAAUGGCGAGAUUUUACACAGCACUGCGGUGUUGGAAUGCC